CACUUCUUCUUCACCAGACUUCUGACCCACUUAUUUCCAGGCUUUGCUUUCACAGUCUGCACUUUAUCUGCCGUCUCAAGGUCAGUAUUUGGCUAGAAGUUCCUGUUGCAUUCUGCAUUAUCGUUUUCUCCUUGGUGACAUGGACUUGGAUGGCAUGAGAAGACCAGAGAAUUCAAACUGACCUCAGAAAAUUGACUAAGUAACUUGAAAAUGUAAGAUGAAAUUGAGUAGGAGUGAGAGUAAUGUGUUAUUCUUGGGCAGGAGUAAUUAACUAGACAAAUAUGGGAAACAAAUAUCUAGUUCAAUAGCAGAAGUUCAGAAAAGGAUCUUGGGGCUGCGGUGGAUCACAAUGUGAGUGAAAGACACAAAUGGAAAAGGCAAAAGUAAUUGUUAUGCAUUCAGGGAAUAUAGUAUGUAAGUCAUAAAACACUGCUUUUCCUCUGCUUGUUAAUGUCAAGGUAACAGAGCAGUAACCCAGUUUGGACAAUGCAUUUAAAUAAAGGCAUCAGACAAAUUCAGAGAAAAGGAUGAAGAAUGAUCACAAAAUUGUAAAAUAUGACCUGCAUUGAAAGAUUGAAAAAAUUAUUUAAUCAUAAAGAGAUGAGGGCUAGGAAGAUGACAGAAGUCAGAUAUAUGAGAGUGUUGCAAAGAUGAUGGUAAUUUGUCCCUUUUUUCCACAGUGAAUAGGACAAAGAAUAAUGAAAUUAUGGAGGGAAGACUGCAAUUAAUAACUGUAAAAACUUGCUUACGUAUAAGGAUGCAUGUCUUAAUGACUACCUGUAAUUCCUUCUAGCUCUGUGAUUUUAAAAGUUAGAAGUCAGGUCAUGUAGGUUUGAUGCUUAUGUUAUGAGAUCUCAGAUGUCAGUCUGUCUUUGGGGGUUAUAAUGUGAAAAUACUUGAAAUGAAAAGGGGAAAUGAGUAAGCCCCAAACAUGUUAUUGGAGAGUUAACAAAAUGUAAAGCAAGAGGACAGGCACUGUUUUGUCUAAAAUAAAUCCAGUGUAAAAGAAGUGUGAGUUAUUUUGGCACACGUGUGUGUGAAAAUGUGUAUGAAAAUAUAUGAAAAUUAGCUAUUUAUCUUGUUUAAGAAAAGAUUGGUUUUAUGGUUAUAACAAGAAGGGCAGUCUGUAUUAAAUAGCUCUUUA